rnacentral:ncRNA from 21 species
UUGUCAACAAGAUUUACAGGUGCAUACUGAAAUGUAUGAGAAUAGGGAAACAGAUGAAAAUUCUGUACGGGACCGCCGCUGUGAUAGGUUGUCUGUUUAUGUGCCACUUUGGUUACACAGGGGAAGGCAAAACAGACUAUAGCUUUAAGUCAGAAGACCUGCCUGUAUUUGUGCCUUGAAA